GAUAAACGCUGGCGGCGUGCUUAACACAUGCAAGUCGAACGGAGUAGUUCUCCCGAGGAUUGAUGAAGCUUGCUUCUGAUAAACUCAUUUGAGCUACUUAGUGGCGGACGGGUGAGUAAUAUUUGGGAAUCUACCUAUCCAGAGGGGGAUAGCAACUGGAAACGGUUGAUAAGACCGCGUACGCUCUGAGGAGGAAAGUAAUGGGAUCGCAAGACCAUUAGCUGAUAGAUGAGCCCAAACGGGAUUAGCUAGUAGGCGGGGUAAGGGCCCACCUAGGCGACGAUCUCUAGCUGGUUUUAGCGGAUGAUCAGCCACAUUGGAACUGAGACACGGUCCAAACUCC
rnacentral:rRNA from 1 species